AUUGAACGCUGGCGGCAGGCCUAACACAUGCAAGUCGAACGAGUGGCGGACGGGUGAGUAAUGUCUGGGAAACUGCCCGAUGGAGGGGGAUAACUACUGGAAACGGUAGCUAAUACCGCAUACCAUCGGAUGUGCCCAGAUGGGAUUAGCUAGUAGGUGGGGUAACGGCUCCCCGAGGCGACGAUCCCUAGCUGGUCUGAGAGGAUGACCAGCAAAACUGGAACGGAGAAACGGUCCAGACUCCUACGGGAGGAAGAAGGGGGGAAUAUUGCACAAGGGGCGCAAGCCUGAUGCAGCAAGGCCGCGGGGAUGAAGAAGGCCUUCGGGUGGGAAAGUACUUUCAGCGAGGAGGCGGUACUCGCAGAAGAAGCACCGGCUAACUCCGUGCCAGCAGCCGCGGUAAUUC
rnacentral:rRNA from 1 species